AUUUAAAUAAUUUAAUUAAAAUAUUGAUUUGUGGAAUCAAAAAUAUGAGUAAUCCUUUUAAAUU
rnacentral:tRNA from 1 species